CUACGGGGCGCACCAGUCGAGAAUCUUUCGCAAUGGACGCAAGUCUGACGAUGCGACGCCGCGUGAGCGAUGAAGGUCUUCGGAUCGUAAAGCUCUGUCAAGCGGGACGAACGUCCUGAAGGCUAAUAGCCUGAUGGGCUGACUGUACCGCUAGAGGAAGCCACGGCUAACUCCGUGCCAGCAGCCGCGGUAAUACGGAGGUGGCUAACGUUGUUCGGAUUCAUUGGGUGUAAAGGGUAUGUAGGUGGCCCUGUAAGUCGGAUGUGAAAUCCUUUGGCUCAACCAAAGAACUGCAUUCGAUACUGCAAGGCUUGAGUUUCGAAGAGGAGAGUGGAAUUCCUAGUGUAAGAGUGAAAUCUGUAGAUAUUAGGAGGAACACCAGUGGCGAAAGCGACUCUCUGGUCGAAAACUGACACUGAAAUACGAAAGCUAAGGGAGCAAACAGGAUUAGAUACCCUCGUAGUC
rnacentral:rRNA from 1 species